AGUGAACGCUGGCGGUAGGCCUAACACAUGCAAGUCGAACGGCAUCAUAGUAAUAGCUUGCUCUUACGGGUGGCGAGUGUCGGACGGUUGAGGAAGACAUCGGAAUCUACUUUUUCGUUGGGGAUAACGUAGGGAAACUUACGCUAAUACCGCAUACGACCUACGUGUGAAAGCAGGGGAUCUUCUGACCUUGCGCGAUGGAAUGAGCCGAUGUUGGAUUAGCUAGGUGGCGGGGUAAAGGCCCACCAAGGCGACGAUCCGUAGGUGGUCUGAGAGGAUGAAUCACUAGAUUGGCAGUGAGACAGGGUCCCGACUCCUAGGGGAGGAAGCAGUGGGGACUAUUGGACGAAGGGGGCAAGGCUGAUCCAGCCAUACCGGGUAGAUGAAGACGGCCUUCGGGUUGUAAAGCCCUUUUGUUGGGAAAGAAAAGAAGUAGGUUAAUCCCCGGCUGUUAUGACGGUACCCAAAGAAUAAGCCCCGGCUAACUUCGUG
rnacentral:rRNA from 1 species